UCCCAGACUCCUACGGGAGGCAGCAGUGGGGAAUAUUGCACAAUGGGGGAAACCCUGAUGCAGCGACGCCGCGUGAGCGAAGAAGUACCUCGGUAUGUAAAGCUCUAUCAGCAGGGAAGAAAGUGACAGUACCUGACUAAGAAGCCCCGGCUAACUCCGUGCCAGCAGCCGCGGUAAUACGGAGGAUGCGAGCGUUAUCCGGAUUUAUUGGGUUUAAAGGGUGCGCAGGCGGCACGGCAAGCCGGCGGUCAAAUCGCGGGGCUCAACCCCGCCCAGCCGUCGGAACUGCCGGGCUAGAGUGGGCGAGAAGUGCGCGGAAUGCGUGGUGUAGCGGUGAAAUGCAUAGAUAUCACGCAGAACUCCGAUUGCGAAGGCAGCGCACCGGCGCCCUACUGACGCUCAGGCACGAAAGCGUGGGUAUCGAACAGGAUUAGAUACCCGUGUAU
rnacentral:rRNA from 1 species